rnacentral:rRNA from 1 species
GAACUUCCGUUAAUUGAUUAUGACGUACUUGUACUGAUUGAGAUUUUAACACGAAGUGAGUGGCGAACGGGUGAGUAACACGUGGGUAACCUGCCCAGAAGUAGGGGAUAACACCUGGAAACAGAUGCUAAUACCGUAUAACAGAGAAAACCGCAUGGUUUUCUUUUAAAAGAUGGCUCUGCUAUCACUUCUGGAUGGACCCGCGGCGUAUUAGCUAGUUGGUGAGGUAAAGGCUCACCAAGGCAGUGAUACGUAGCCGACCUGAGAGGGUAAUCGGCCACAUUGGGACUGAGACACGGCCCAGACUCCUACGGGAGGCAGCAGUAGGGAAUCUUCCACAAUGGACGCAAGUCUGAUGGAGCAACGCCGCGUGAGUGAAGAAGGGUUUCGGCUCGUAAAGCUCUGUUGUUAAAGAAGAACGUGGGUAAGAGUAACUGUUUACCCAGUGACGGUAUUUAACCAGAAAGCCACGGCUAACUACGUGCCAGCAGCCGCGGUAAUACGUAGGUGGCAAGCGUUAUCCGGAUUUAUUGGGCGUAAAGCGAGCGCAGGCGGUCUUUUAAGUCUAAUGUGAAAGCCUUCGGCUCAACCGAAGAAGUGCAUUGGAAACUGGGAGACUUGAGUGCAGAAGAGGACAGUGGAACUCCAUGUGUAGCGGUGAAAUGCGUAGAUAUAUGGAAGAACACCAGUGGCGAAGGCGGCUGUCUGGUCUGCAACUGACGCUGAGGCUCGAAAGCAUGGGUAGCGAACAGGAUUAGAUACCCUGGUAGUCCAUGCCGUAAACGAUGAUUACUAAGUGUUGGAGGGUUUCCGCCCUUCAGUGCUGCAGCUAACGCAUUAAGUAAUCCGCCUGGGGAGUACGACCGCAAGGUUGAAACUCAAAAGAAUUGACGGGGGCCCGCACAAGCGGUGGAGCAUGUGGUUUAAUUCGAAGCUACGCGAAGAACCUUACCAGGUCUUGACAUCUUCUGACAGUCUAAGAGAUUAGAGGUUCCCUUCGGGGACAGAAUGACAGGUGGUGCAUGGUUGUCGUCAGCUCGUGUCGUGAGAUGUUGGGUUAAGUCCCGCAACGAGCGCAACCCUUAUUACUAGUUGCCAGCAUUAAGUUGGGCACUCUAGUGAGACUGCCGGUGACAAACCGGAGGAAGGUGGGGACGACGUCAAAUCAUCAUGCCCCUUAUGACCUGGGCUACACACGUGCUACAAUGGAUGGUACAACGAGUCGCGAGACCGCGAGGUUAAGCUAAUCUCUUAAAACCAUUCUCAGUUCGGACUGUAGGCUGCAACUCGCCUACACGAAGUCGGAAUCGCUAGUAAUCGCGGAUCAGCAUGCCGCGGUGAAUACGUUCCCGGGCCUUGUACACACCGCCCGUCACACCAUGAGAGUUUGUAACACCCAAAGCCGGUGGGGUAACCUUUUAGGAGCUAGCCG